rnacentral:rRNA from 1 species
GUUAGGAAUAUUGGACAAUGGGCGCAAGCCUGAUCCAGCCAUGCCGCGUGAGUGAUGAAGGCCUUCGGGUUGUAAAGCUCUUUAGCCGAUGAUUAUAAUGACUGUAGUCGGAAAAUAAGCCCCGGCUAACUUCGUGCCAGCAGCCGCGGUAAUACGAAGGGGGCGAGCGUUAUUCGGAAUCACUGGGCGUAAAGCGUGCGUAGGCGGCUUUGCAAGUUGGGAGUGAAAGUCCAGGGCUCAACCCUGGAAUUGCUCUCAAAACUGCAAGGCUCGAAUUCGGGAGAGGAUAGCGGAAUUGUCAGUGUAGCAGUGAAAUGCGUAGAUAUUGACAGGAACACCAGUGGCGUAAGCGGCUAUCUGGACCGAUAUUGACGCUGAGGCACGAAAGCGUGGGGAUCAAACAGGAUUAGAAACCCGGGUAGUCC